rnacentral:rRNA from 1 species
UGGUCAAGUUAUUAAGGGUGCAGGGCGGAUGCCUUGGCACUAGGAGCCGAUGAAGGACGUGAUAAGCUGCGAUAAGCUUCGGGGAGUUGCACGUAAACUUUGAUCCGAAGAUUUCCGAAUGAGGAAACUCACUUAGAGUAAUGUCUAAGUAUCAUUAAGUGAAUACAUAGCUUAAUGAGGGGAACUCAGGGAACUGAAACAUCUAAGUACCUGAAGGAAGAGAAAGAAAUUCGAUUCCGUAAGUAGCGGCGAGCGAACGCGGAUUAGCCCAAACCAAUAAAGUUUUCUUUAUUGGGGUUGCGGACAUAUCAUAACGAAGAGGUAUCGUAAUUGAAGAGGUUUGGAAAGACCCACCACAGAAGGUAAUAGUCCUGUAUGUUAAACGAGAAGACUUCAGAUAUGAUCCAGAGUACCACGGGACACGUGAAACCCUGUGGGAAGCAGGAGGGACCACCCUCCAAGGCUAAAUACUACCUAGUGACCGAUAGCGUAUAGUACCGUGAGGGAAAGGUGAAAAGAACCCCGGGAGGGGAGUGAAAUAGAACCUGAAACCCUGCACUUACAAGCUGUGGAAGCACAUUUCUUGUGUGACCGCGUACUUUUUGUAGAACGGGCCAACGAGUUACGUUAAGUAGCAAGGUUAAGCACUUAAGGUGCGGAGCCGUAGCGAAAGCGAGUUUUAACUG